rnacentral:rRNA from 1 species
CCAAUAGCGUAUAUUAAAGUUGUUGCAGUUAAAAAGCUCGUAGUUGAAUUUCGGGGUCAGUAGGUCGGUCGUGCCACUGGUAUGAACUGGUCUCACUGAUUCCUCCUUCUUGAAGAACCGUAAUGUCAUUAACUUGGUGUUGCGGGGAAACAGGACUGUUACCUUGAAAAAAUUAGAGUGUUUAAAGCAGGCUAGCGCCUGAAUACAUUAGCAUGGAAUAAUGAAAUAGGACGUUCGAUCCUAUUUUGUUGGUUUCUAGGAUUGACGUAAUGAUUAAUAGGGAUAGUUGGGGGCAUUAGUAUUCAAUUGUCAGAGGUGAAAUUCUUGGAUUUAUUGAAGACUAACUACUGCGAAAGCAUUUGCCAAGGAUGUUUUCAUUAAUCAAGAACGAAAGUUAGGGGAUCGAAGACGAUCAGAUACCGUCGUAGUCUUAACCAUAAACUAUGCCGACUAGGGAUCGGAUGAUGUUAAUUUUAUAAUGACUCAUUCGGCGCCUUACG